rnacentral:rRNA from 1 species
CCUGGCUCAGAACGUACGCUGGCGGCACGCCUAACACAUGCAAGUCGAACGAAGUAGCAAUACUUAGUGGCAGACGGGUGAGUAACAUGUAGGUAUCUGCCCUUUGGCCUGGAAUAACACGAGGAAACUUGUGCUAAUACCGGAUAAGUCUUUACGGAGAAAGCUUUAUGCACCAUUGGAUGAGCCUGCACUUGAUUAGUUUGUUGGUGGGGUAAUGGCCUACCAAGACUGUGAUCAAUAGCUGAUUUGAGAGGAUGAUCAGCCACAUUGGGACUGAGACACGGCCCAAACUCCUACGGGAGGCAGCAGUGGGGAAUCUUGCACAAUGGAGGAAACUCUGAUGCAGCGAUGCCGCGUGAGUGAAGAAGGCCCUUGGGUUGUAAAGCUCUUUCGUCGGGGAAGAAAAUGACUGUACCCGAAUAAGAAGGUCCGGCUAACUUCGUGCCAGCAGCCGCGGUAAUACGAAGGGACCUAGCGUAGUUCGGAAUUACUGGGCUUAAAGAGUUCGUAGGUGGUUGAAAAAGUUAGUGGUGAAAUCCCAGAGCUUAACUCUGGAACUGCCAUUAAAACUUUUCAGCUAGAGUAUGAUAGAGGAAAGCAGAAUUUCUAGUGUAGAGGUGAAAUUCGUAGAUAUUAGAAAGAAUACCAAUUGCGAAGGCAGCUUUCUGGAUCAUUACUGACACUGAGGAACGAAAGCAUGGGUAGCGAAGAGGAUUAGAUACCCUCGUAGUCCAUGCCGUAAACGAUGUGUGUUAGACGUUGGAAAUUUAUUUUCAGUGUCGCAGGGAAACCGAUAAACACACCGCCUGGGGAGUACGACCGCAAGGUUAAAACUCAAAUGAAUUGACGGGGACCCGCACAAGUAGUGGAGCAUGUGGUUUAAUUCGAAGAUACGCGCAGAACCUUACCAACACUUGACAUGUUCGUCGCGACUCUAAGAGAUUAGAGUUUUCGGUUCGGCCGGACGAAACACAGGUGCUGCAUGGCUGUCGUCAGCUCGUGUCGUGAGAUGUUGGGUUAAGUCCCGCAACGAGCGCAACCCUCACUUUUAGUUGCCAUCAUUAAGUUGGGCACUCUGAAAGAACUGCCAGUGAUAAGCUGGAGGAAGGUGGGGAUGACGUCAAGUCCUCAUGGCCCUUACGUGUUGGGCUACACACGUGCUACAAUGGUAUCUACAACAGGAAGCAAGACUGCGAAGUUAAGCAAAUCCCUAAAAGAUACCUCAGUUCGGAUUGCACUCUGCAACUCGAGUGCAUGAAGCUGGAAUUACUAGUAAUCGUGGAUCAGCGUGCCACGGUGAAUGCGUUCCCGGGUCUUGUACACACCGCCCGUCACACCAUGGGAGUUGGUUCUACCUUAAGGCAAGGUUUCAAACCCUUGACCACGGUAUAGUCAGCGACUGGGGUGAAGUCGUAACAAGGUAGCCG